GACAGAUGGAGAGAGAGAGAGAGAGGCCUGUAAAAACAGGACACGCAUAGGCAACAAAAGCGGUGUCCGUUUGUUUGAGCAUGUAUAUGCAAGAAUUUGUUAAAUAUUUGCUGCUUCAAAAAGAUAAAUAUUUAUUUAUUUGGAACUUCAUCUAAUGUUUUUGCCAUAGUCAAAAAAGGGAAAAUUGAAAACUGAGAUUUGGAAUGGGGACCAGAAGAGAGAAGCGGAGAGAAGAGUCCGUUCGUUUUUUGCUCUAUCCUCUGUUGAAAUAGCCGUUUUUUUGGUUAUUCAAAAGAAAUUUCAAAUUAGAGGAACAGAUUAUCCAAAAGAAAAGAAAGAAAGCGAAAAAUGAAGAGAGAAUCUUGACUUGGUUUCACUCUGUUCACAGUUGUUUUUUUUUUCUUUUUUUUUUUCCUGGGCCAAGACAAAAAUCAGCCUGUGGCUUUACCCUGUGGUUUUUCAGUUUCAAACAUUCCAUGUUUUUUUUCACCUGAAACUCAAAUUUGAGCCAAUGACCAUUGAAUUUUAAUUCAUUGAUUGAA